UCUGUUAUUACAUUUUAAUUUCCUUAAGAUGAGGUUGCACAGAGUUCCAGGCUUACGAAAGCAAAGUCAAGGGCAAGUACUUCUGCGAGAAUCUUUCUGAGCAUGUUGCAGUAUUCUCUCUAUCUUGUCCACUUGUCUUAAUUUUGCCCUCUAGUGUCUUUGCUAAUAUUCUUUGACAAAUUGCCACUCAUAAUUCCCUUUUUAUCUUUUCCUGGAAUAGGAGUUCAUAGUGCGACCUGAUUUAAUUCACUUUGGAAUAUAGAUGAUCCUUUAAACUUUAAUGAAAGUUUGUUUGUCUUGUGUUGGAUUUACUAUUUCUUUCUGUUGAUUAGUUUACAAGAUCAUAAUCCUUGAUAAGUCUUCAGUGUAGAGCUUAAGAUGUCUAAUAAGCAGAGGUCAAGAAGAUGACAGAAACAUCUGUACAGAAGUGGUAAUACCCUAAUGUUCUUAGAGUCCUCAUUGUAUUUGUAUUUGUUAGUACAUCAUGAUGAUAGAGCUCAGCUACAAAGUAUUUGCAGGGAAGGUGAGAUGAUGUUUGUUGACACCACGGUUGAUAGCUGAUUAGGUUGAUACUAGUGAUACAUAAAAGCAUCUCUAUGCAUCUAGUGGACUAGAGGAACCCAACACAGGAGCUAGUGUCGACAAAGAUCUUCUCUAUGUUUAGGGUCCAGUUAUAUCAACUCAAUAUGACUUGAAAGCAUAACGGCGUAGAGG
rnacentral:lncRNA from 1 species